rnacentral:rRNA from 1 species
UGCACCUACGGGGGGCAGCAGUGAGGAAUAUUGGUCAAUGGGCUUACGCCUGAACCAGCCAAGUCGCGUGAGGGAAGACUGCCCUAUGGGUUGUAAACUUCUUUUAUAAAGGAAUAAAACGAGGCACGUGUGCCUUUUUGCAUGUACUUUAUGAAUAAGGAUCGGCUAACUCCGUGCCAGCAGCCGCGGUAAUACGGAGGAUCCGAGCGUUAUCCGGAUUUAUUGGGUUUAAAGGGAGCGUAGAUGGGUUGUUAAGUCAGUUGUGAAAGUUUGCGGCUCAACCGUAAAAUUGCAAUUGAUACUGG